GUUUACAGAUGAUAUUUCGUUGAUAAUAUAACAGAUAAUAGUACAUGUUAAAUUGUCAUACUCAAGUAUCAUGAUGAUCCAGACGUCUUUUGUGUCUGGCUGUCAAUAAUAUAGGAAAAUUCAAAAAGAAGGAUAGAACUAUAUAUGCAGAUGAAAUAUGAGAAUCCUUUUGGUAUAGUUGGUUAUUUUGUAUGAGGAUGAUGAUGAACGUCUGGGAUUGCAAUUACGGAUAUAAUUAUGAGCAGUAAUCUGGAAAAAAAUAUAACGGCUGGAUAAACAACUAAACAAGAGACGACUAUCGUUUAAAUCGAAUCAACAGCGAUGUCGAAUACUAACGAGUAGGUGACCCGAGACAAAAGAGAAACAGUGGGCAGUUGAUGAAUUGGAUCUUUUUUUGAUUCAUGAUUUUUUUACAAUUGGAUAUAUUUUUUUGGACCGUUUGGAUUGGAGCAUCAUCACACCUGGUAAAUGUUUCUUCUUUCUCUCCAAAAUCUGCCUAGAAGGUUCUUGCAAAUUUUUGGAUUCAAUUCUCAUAUCAACAAGUCGAGGGCAAGUGAAGACCGCAGUUUAAUUUACAUCAUUCUACUGUCGGCUUUUGACGUUAAACGACGACGACCGCAUAUAUUGUCGUAAAUGAGAAAACUUGCAAAAAUUCUUCAAGAAGCUCACAAGAUAUGAGAUAAUGACGACAAAAUAUAAGGAGUAUACCAGCAACAAAUCUAGUGGCUUAUAUAAAUUCUACAAAAUGUGGAAAAAUACAGAAAGACUCCCUGGAAUUCCCAGCACUCUGGACAUAAUUCUGAAGUGGUGAAAGGCAGACGGUGAGGGUGAAAGGCCAAAAAAAAAGAAGAGAGAAAAAUAAUAAAUAGUUGAGCUAUUAUUUAUUCACAUUGAUUUGUUGCCAGGCCAAUCAGUCAAUCUCGACAUAUGCUUAAAAAUCCAGUUGUUGGAAGAGACUAUUAUUGCUAACUGGCAAUUGGAAAGUCUCGGUGGGCUUACUCAAUUUCUUGUUACAUACUGUCGAUCAUGAAAUGAUUAUCCAUGACGAUAGGAAAAAGUUCACGCUAGUGAAAAUUUAUGGAAUAUUCAAAUGAGGGGAUGUCAAGAAUCUCUAGGAGUCAUAUCGGAUUCUGGUUGAAUGCUUGAAUGAAUGUAAUACCAAGAAAUCCCAAGAAGCCACAUCAAAACUUCAGCUCAAUUUGUAAAAAUUUUCAUUGGAUAUUAUAUCUCGUAUUGAUUCAUUUCAUCAACUAAAAAAGGUGUACAGUCAAGUGAAACGUGAGAUAUAGAUUUCUUACGAUGGAGAUUCAAGGAAAAACCAUUGUUGUUUUAUUUCAUUUCCGUGGCAAGUAAAACGACUUUCUAUUUCCACGAUCUAUUUCCAUCCCCCGACAAGUAAAGUGGUAUAUAUGGAAGAACAAAAUCAUGGCUCUUGGACAGGAACUGAUGGAAAAAAGAAAACGAAAAUGGAAUAUCCUGGUAUCAUGACGAAUAAAGAAGAAAUAACGAUAAAGUAAAAACAUGUAGAGUGAUUGAAAGAAUAACAAAACUUGACGUCUUUUGCCAAAAAAAAAAAAAAUGAAAGUGUACUUUUAAAAGUACUUUGAUGGGUUUAGUAUUGUAUAAUAUAGAUGAUCGUAUUCUGCAGAUGUACUGCUUGGGGCUGUGUCUAUUCAUUCAUUCUAAAAUCCAACAUCCACUGUUAUAUUGAAUUUUGUGAAGAAAAAAAAAAAACGCCAUACUAAGCUUAUGCCAACGUAAAAUUAUUGUUGAUAUACAGUAGGGACUAGACAGAAUUAAAAGGGAGGCCAAAAAUAAAAAAAAAAAAAAGAAACCCACAGUGAACAACGGGUCGUGUAUCUAAUGAAAACACGUGGCUUUAUAUACACGUGACCCAAAGAAAUCGACACCCUGUGACAUUUGGGAAAUUCGAGUGGUAAUCCGUCAAGACGAAAAUGACAAAAAACUGCUUAACCAGUAAACGAUCAUCAAAGUAUCCCACAGGGGGAAACUGGUCGUUGGGUUUAGCGACCUCAUCUCAGGGGCUUACGAUUCAACAGACUCAACAGCAGUGAUUUUGAUUCCACUUGGUUUUAUCUUUGCUUUACCAUUUUUGGCAAUUGCAGUCCUCGUACUUGACGAUUAGGACAAAUGAUGGCCAUCUUUCUCCCUAAAAGUUUUUUAUUUUUUUAUGCUUCUUUUAUUGCAUUGAUUUAUUGAUGCUGAUAAUAGACACCUUACGUCAUGUAAAUGAAAUCAUGUAAGACAAUUUACAUUAACGACACGAAACCACCCACACACCGAGUCAAAAUAUAUAAAAAAAAACAAAACAAAAAAUUCAUAUAUCGUACAGUGCAAAAAGUAAAUUAAAUUUUCGUAACGGUUUGAAACGAGCGAAACAUGAAGUAUUGAAAAUUGAAAAUUGAUAUUGAUCGAUUGUGGGUGGGCGUUAAGUAUGGGAUCGUCGAAUGGUUACAUUCUAUUGGACACAACAGGGUAUUUUCAAAACACCUACACUCUUUAAUGUAAAAUGUUUGAUUGUAUAUGGCACGUGCUCAUGUGUUGAAGAUUGUCGUGCAAAAUGUCUUUGUAUAUAUGCAUUAAAAUCAAGGAGACAAAGAAAAAUAAAAAUAAAUAAAAGGAAGUCAGCCAUGGAGAAGUCAUCUGGUUGUGUAAUGUUUGUCAACAAUUAGGUGUAUUCAAUGACAAAGUUACGUCCGGCAAUAUAAGAUAAGACAGUUUGGUACCCACAAGGUACUUUUGGGUAUAUCGACGUGAAUAAUCGCAUCAAGAGUCAACAUCAUUCCUGUACAAUUUGCGUGGGAGUUUCAUGUACGAUCAUUAGGUUUGAGAUGUUAUCGUUUGCCUGUAAGUCACUCAGUCACUCGGGUUCCAAUUCUUUGGCUCGAUUAUACUCGUAAGGGAAGCUAAACGAUCUCGACGAUCUCAUCACGUUCAGCCAUCACCUCCCUUUCUUACCACUCCCUUUUUCCGUUUUAAACUUAGCAAUUUGUGUUUAAGACUGAAUGGAAUAUUGCAUUUUUGUGUCAAGUUAUUUUUUACCACAAGUUACCACUAUAAAUAUCGAGAGCUGAAAGAGACAUGGAAUUUUUGAGUUAAAGUCUGGUGGAAUAUUAUCUUGAUAACUGUGGUCAGAAUAAAUGGAGAAAAAAUUGGGCUCACACAUGAAUAGCUUUUUCUGCGCUUCCAACAGAAAAAAAAAAAAAAGAAAAAAAUCGACAACGAUUUAUGAAGCUAUGAUAUUACUCUUGAGACACAUGUAUAUACAUAUAUGAGUAUUUAUAUUCACAGUGUGUGCAGAUGAUAGUUUCCAUGCUCACAGCAUGAAUGUUUACUGGUGAAUCAUUUUCAGAUUGCCACUAUAUUCCAGCCCCCUAGUGGUGGCUAAUCGAUGCUUUUUACCUGAGGUUGUAAAUAAAAUCACUGCCAAGCAAGGAACCUGAAAACGGCAUCACAGCUUAGAUCGCAAGAUCAGGAGACCGUUUUGAAAAGUUGUUCUUGUCUUGAUGCAGUACUAUGUAUACAUAUAUAUAUUGAUUAUACACGAGAUGAGAGAAUAAUAAAAAAAGAAGAGGUUAGUGCUGGUCUGCAAUUUGAUCGUCACAUAUAUUUCAAAAAACGGGCUCCAGCAAGUUGGUGCUAUCGUUGUUAUUGUUCCUGCGAUUUCAUAUCGGUAUUUAUCUGGCUGGCAUGGUGAGUUUCUUGAUAAUUAUGGCAACCAAAAGGUGUUUCAUUCAGUAGAUUCACAUAUAUUAUACAGUCUUUACCUGUGCAGUUUAAAAAACAAGAAAAAAAAAAAAAAAUCACAGAAAAAUUUAUAUAUUUUAAUACUCGCAAGAUAUAUUUUUCCAGUGUCAGACUGUCUCAUCCUUAUUAUUGACCGCAUUGCUUAUUGGGGGGUAUAUUUUCGGUCAAUAAAACUCUCUUGAGCAAUGUGUUAUUUUCCUAUCAAAAUGUAUAUUGUGAAUGAGCCACUAAAAAUAUAAAGAAAGUGCACAGGAGGAUAUAUAACUCCUUGAAAAUGCUCGGGGUUCGUUAUUAACCCGGCCAAGUACAUAUAUACAUAUCCCGUUGAAAAUAACAUUUAAUCGUUUUUUACCCAACGGCAACAAUUGUUAUCCGUUAAUCAUAAAAUCGCAUUUUUUUUUUAUUUAAAAAAAAAAUAAAACAAAAAAACAAGCUGACAGCUCAAUGGCACGUGGAUACAUGCGAUAGAUUAGAUGCAGUAUAUGCACAUUGUGUCGAUUUUUCCGGCUCUUGUCACAAAAUUAAUGGGCCAAUGAACGAUGAACUCGUCAAUCCAUUCGAUGCUACAGUCAUAAAUAUUCCAAAAAAAAAUAACAGAAAAAAAAAAGAAAGAAACAAUUU
rnacentral:lncRNA from 1 species